GGACUACCCGGGUUUCUAAUCCCGUUCGCUCCCCUGGCUUUCGCACCUCAGCGUCAGUUACCUCCCAGGACACUGCCUUCGCCUUUGGUAUUCCUCCGGAUAUCUACGCAUUUCACCACUCCACCCGGAAUUCUAUGUCCCUCUGAGGUCCUCCAGUCGCCCCGUCUUCCCGGCACUCCCGUCGUUAAGCAACGAGCUGGCACCGGAAACGCGGGCAACCGCCUGCGUGCGCUUUACGCCCAGUAACUCCGGACAACGCUUGCCCCCUACGUAUUACCGCGGCGGCUGGCAC
rnacentral:rRNA from 1 species